rnacentral:rRNA from 1 species
GUAGUCCACGCUGUAAACGAUGAGUGCUAGAUGUUGGGCGCAAGCUCAGUGUCGUCGCUAACGCAUGAAGCACUCCGCCUGGGGAGUACGGUCGCAAGAUUAAAACUCAAAGGAAUUGACGGGGACCCGCACAAGCGGUGGAGUAUGUGGUUUAAUUCGAAGCUACGCGCAGAACCUUACCAGCUUUUGACAUGUGACGUUUGAGAUUCAGAGAUGAAUUUCUUCACUUCGGGUGGCGUCAACACAGGUGCUGCAUGGCUGUCGUCAGCUCGUGUCGUGAGAUGUUGGGUUAAGUCCCGCAACGAGCGCAACCCUCAUUGUUAAUUGCCAUCAGGUUUGGCUGGGCACUUUAACAAAACUGCCGGUGAUAAGCCGGA